rnacentral:lncRNA from 1 species
CACCGGUGUCCCCGCAUCCUGAACUUCUGCUGUCCCUGUGGCCAGCAGAGGCGCGGCGCCAGCUGCUGAAGUGGGAAGAGGGCAUGUUUCUGUCGGAGGGGUCUGGACAGACGCCUGCGUCCCUUUACGCAGCCCUGGGGAGCUCCUGAUCAUCCUCGCCAAGCUCAGAGGCCUCCAAGCGCGGCCAAGCUUGGCUGGCGAAGCCGUGGCGCCCCGGCCCUUUCUCGCCUCUGCACCGGCUGUGCUCCGAGCUGCCUCCCUUCCAAGGACACUGGGCAGCCGGCUUCCUUCUGCUUCUGCCCCCCUCCCCCCGCUUAGAAACGGUACUUUCCGUUGGGUCCCCCAGAGCAGCCCAGGGUCUAACUCCCAACGCCCCGCGGCCCCAUGUUAAAGCUCCUGCGGUGAGCGGGCCUUGCGCGCAGCGCCCUGGCAGUCUUGCAAACAGGAUUCCUGGGAAAGUUUGCUCGGACUCCGUCAGCCCAGGACAGACCCCCCCCCCCCCCACCUCUGCUGCUCUCGACCUCUGCCCCCAGAGGCAGGAGUUGGGCUUCCUGGGAGCAGCAAGCCAACGCCACGGCCCCUCCUCCCUCCACAGCUGCCGGUCCCGAGGGCGCAGGACCCAGCCCCAGGCUGUGCUCCCGGAGCCGGGGGAGGAGAGCGAACCUCAGGGCUGGCUCUCCACAGCCGCCGGAGCUGAGUGCAUCCCGAUCGGCUUUUAGGAUGGCAUUGACUGGGACAAGCUGUUCCCAGCCCCGUAAGCGUUAAUCUGCCUGUUAAUCAAAGCACUGAGGGGCUCAAUGAGGGUUUUAUUAGCGACCGGAGAGCAGAG